GACGAACGCUGGCGGCGUGCUUAACACAUGCAAGUCGAACGGAAAGGCCUGCUUUCCCUUGUGGAUUGCGGGUACUCGAGUGGCGAACGGGUGAGUAACACGUGAGUGAUCUGCCCCCAACUUGGGUAUAAGCCUGGGAAACUGGGUCUAAUUCCCGAUAGGACUGCAGGGUGGUGCCUGUGGUGGAAAACGAUUUUCUAGUGGUUGGGGAUGAGCUCGCGGCCUAUCAGCCUGUUGGUGGGGUAAUGGCCUACCAAGGCGGCGACGGGUAGCCUGCCUGAGAGGAUGGACGGCCACAUUGGGACUGAGAUACGGCCCAGACUCCUACGGGAGGCAGCAGUGGGGAAUAUUGCACAAUGGGCGGAAGCCUGAUGCAGCGACGCCGCGUGGGGGAUGACGGCCUUCGGGUUGUAAACUCCUUUCGACCGCGAGGAAGCCACCUGGUUGGAAGGGUGGUGACGGUAGUGGUAGAAGAAGCACCGGCUAACUACGUG
rnacentral:rRNA from 1 species